rnacentral:rRNA from 1 species
GGGGAAUAUUGCACAAUGGGCGCAAGCCUGAUGCAGCGACGCCGCGUGAGGGAUGACGGCCUUCGGGUUGUAAACCUCUUUCAAUAGGGACGAAGCGCAAGUGACGGUACCUAUAGAAGAAGCACCGGCCAAAUACGUGCCAGCAGCCGCGGUAAUACGUAGGGUGCGAGCGUUGUCCGGAAUUACUGGGCGUAAAGAGCUCGUAGGUGGUUUGUCGCGUUGUUCGUGAAAACUCCCAACUCAAUUGUGGGCGUGCGGGCGAUACGGGCAGACUAGAGUACUGCAGGGGAGACUGGAAUUCCUGGUGUAGCGGUGGAAUGCGCAGAUAUCAGGAGGAACACCGGUGGCGAAGGCGGGUCUCUGGGCAGUAACUGACGCUGAGGAGCGAAAGCGUGGGGAGCGAAC